GUGCUAAGGUAGCAUAAUCAAUCGCCUUUUAAUUGAAGGAUAGAAUGAAUGAACAAACAAGAGACAGACUGUCUCUAUUUUAAACUUGAAAAUUAUUUUUUAGGUGAAAAAACCUAAAUUACCUAUAAAGACAGAAAGACCCUAUGAGCUUUUAUUAAAAAUUAAACAUCUUAUUAACCUUAUAUUUUGUUGGGGAGACAAAAAGCAAUUUACGUUUUCCUCAUACAGAUUCUUAAAUCCCAUAUAUUUAUCCAAAAGCACACAAACAAGUUACCUUAGGGAUAACAGGCCAAUACUUCUCAAGAGCCCGCAUCAACAGAAGU
rnacentral:rRNA from 1 species